rnacentral:rRNA from 1 species
AUUGAACGCUGGCGGCAGGCCUAACACAUGCAAGUCGAGCGAGCGGCGGACGGGUGAGUAAUGUCUGGGAAACUGCCUGAUGGAGGGGGAUAACUACUGGAAACGGUAGCUAAUACCGCAUACCAUCGGAUGUGCCCAGAUGGGAUUAGCUAGUAGGUGGGGUAACGGCUUACCUAGGCGCCGAUCCCUAGCUGGUCUGAGAGGAUGACCGGCCACACUGGAACUGAGACACGGUCCAGACUCCUACGGGAGGCAGCAGUGGGGAAUAUUGCACAAUGGGCGCAAGCCUGAUGCAGCCAUGCCGCGUGUGUGAAGAAGGCCUUCGGGUUGUAAAGCACUGUCAGCGGGGAGGCGGUAUCCGAAGAAGAAGCACCGGCUAACUCCGUGCCAGCAGCCGCGGUAAUAC